UACGUAGGGUGCGAGCGUUGUCCGGAAUUAUUGGGCGUAAAGAGCUCGUAGGCGGUUUGUCGCGUCUGCCGUGAAAGUCCGGGGCUCAACUCCGGAUCUGCGGUGGGUACGGGCAGACUAGAGUGAUGUAGGGGAGACUGGAAUUCCUGGUGUAGCGGUGAAAUGCGCAGAUAUCAGGAGGAACACCGAUGGCGAAGGCAGGUCUCUGGGCAAUUCCUGACGCUGAGGCGCGAAAGCGUGGGGAGCAAACGGG
rnacentral:rRNA from 1 species